UCAAACCCUAAAUUUGUUUUCUUUAUGGUUAUUUCUCCUUAGAAAUCCUAACCCUAAUUGGCAUAUGAAUCGUACCAAACCCUAGUUCAUCCUGCAGUUUGUGAUCACAAACCAUGUAAAUCCUCACCCUAACUUCCAUUUGAAUCGUACCAAACCCUAGUUCAUCCUGCAAUUUGUGAUCACAAACCAUGUUCCAUGCUUUGCUUUCAUGGUUUUCGUAUAGACCUGAAUCUGUAAUAUCAAACCCAUAUUCUGAAGAAAGUGGGUAUUGAGAAUUUUGUGCUUAAUUUGAGUCUUUGAAUCUGGCAACUCAAUUUUAUUUUUAUUUAUAUUUUUUUUAUGAAAUGAAUAUCACAAACUCCAAUAUAAAGAGUCUCUGUGAUUUUAUGCAAUUCUUUUUUUCAGUUUUUUGCAGUUCUUUUUUUUUUACCAUAGAGUUGCCAUAGAAGAGAGAAGAAUCGAUGGAUCGAAGAACUAGAGGAGGCGGAGGGUUUUUUGAAGGAGCCUAUAGACUCCUUAUGCGUCGGAAUUCGGUUUAUGUCACCUUCAUUGUUGUUGGUGCUUUCUUCGGAGAAAGGGCUGUGGACUAUGCUGUUCAUAAACUUUGGGAUUACAACAAUGUUGGGAAAAGGUACGAGGAUAUUCCUGUCUUGGGAACAAGGACAUCUGAAAGCUGAUGUUUUAAUUGCUCUGCAGGUUACUUUCCAUCAAUUUGUGGAUCAAUUGAUAACUGUUUCUUGUAAUAAUAUUUGAGUGUAAUGUUGAUGAACUUCGUCUUGAGAAAUGUUGAUGAACUUCGUCUUGAAAAUGUUGAAAGAAAGCGUCUGCAUCUUUGGUGAGAUGAUUUGUAAUGUCCAUGAACUUCUUUAACAAAUUGUCAGAGCAAAUGUUGUGCAAUCUUUAUUGUGAUGAUAUCAAAGUGUGCUUGGCAACCCUUGGAAAUU